AUGGCUGGCCGUAAAUCCAAGGUCCCCAAAUGGCCGGAAGUAAAAGGUAUCAAUGACUACGCAGUAGCAUUUGGUUGCCUGGCGAUGGCAACCAGAGGGCUGGGCUUUCUCGUGGUUACCUGAACCACCGUCGUUCUUCUUGGUGGAUUCGUCUCCAUACUGCAGAAGAAGGAUUUUUGGUCUCUCACGAUGAUUACAUUCAUACAAAUAGUCGGGUUAGUCCUACUCCUUAGUUUUUCUCUAUUAUUUCCCAGGAUAUUUCCCCCUAGACAAUGGGACCAAUAG
rnacentral:rRNA from 1 species